rnacentral:rRNA from 1 species
UGGGGAAUAUUGGGCAAUGGGCGAAAGCCUGAUCCAGCCAUGCCGCGUGUGUGAAGAAGGUCUUCGGAUUGUAAAGCACUUUAAGUUGGGAGGAAGGGCAGUAAGUUAAUACCUUGCUGUUUUGACGUUACCGACAGAAUAAGCACCGGCUAACUCUGUGCCAGCAGCCGCGGUAAUACAGAGGGUGCAAGCGUUAAUCGGAAUUACUGGGCGUAAAGCGCGCGUAGGUGGUUAGUUAAGUUGGAUGUGAAAUCCCCGGGCUCAACCUGGGAACUGCAUUCAAAACUGACUGACUAGAGUAUGGUAGAGGGUGGUGGAAUUUCCUGUGUAGCGGUGAAAUGCGUAGAUAUAGGAAGGAACACCAGUGGCGAAGGCGACCACCUGGACUGAUACUGACACUGAGGUGCGAAAGCGUGGGGAGCAAACAGGAUUAAAUACCCGUGUAGUCCCUGAGCGGGCUGGCAAGGCGCAU